AAUCGUACCCCAAACCGACACAGGUGGUCAGGUAGAGAAUACUCAGGCGCUUGAGAGAACUCGGGUGAAGGAACUAGGCAAAAUGGUGCCGUAACUUCGGGAGAAGGCACGCUGGAUUGGGUGAAGUCCCUUGCGGAUGGAGCCGAGACCAGUCGCAGAUACCAGCUGGCUGCAACUGUUUAAUAAAAACACAGCACUGUGCAAACACGAAAGUGGACGUAUACGGUGUGACGCCUGCCCGGUGCCGGAAGGUUAAUUGAUGGGGUCAGCUUUCGGGCGAAGCUCUUGAUCGAAGCCCCGGUAAACGGCGGCCGUAACUAUAACGGUCCUAAGGUAGCGAAAUUCCUUGUCGGGUAAGUUCCGACCUGCACGAAUGGCGUAAUGAUGGCCAGGCUGUCUCCACCCGAGACUCAGUGAAAUUGAACUCGCUGUGAAGAUGCAGUGUACCCGCGGCAAGACGGAAAGACCCCGUGAACCUUUACUAUAGCUUGACACUGAACCUUGAGCCUUGAUGUGUAGGAUAGGUGGGAGGCUUUGAAGCGUGGACGCCAGUCUGCGUGGAGCCGACCUUGAAAUACCACCCUUUGAUGUUUGAUGUUCUAACGUGGGCCCGUAAUCCGGGUUGCGGACAGUGUCUGGUGGGUAGUUUGACUGGGGCGGUCUCCUCCCAAAGCGUAACGGAGGAGCACGAAGGUUAGCUAAUCCUGGUCGGACAUCAGGAGGUUAGUGCAAAGGCAUAAGCUAGCUUGACUGCGAGAGUGACGGCUCGAGCAGGUGCGAAAGCAGGUCUUAGUGAUCCGGUGGUUCUGGAUGGAAGGGCCAUCGCUCAACGGAUAAAAGGUACUCCGGGGAUAACAGGCUGAUACCGCCCAAGAGUUCAUAUCGACGGCGGUGUUUGGCACCUCGAUGUCGGCUCAUCACAUCCUGGGGCUGAAGUAGGUCCCAAGGGUAUGGCUGUUCGCCAUUUAAAGUGGUACGCGAGCUGGGUUUAGAACGUCGUGAGACAGUUCGGUCCCUAUCUGCCGUGGGCGUUGGAAGAUUGAGAGGGGUUGCUCCUAGUACGAGAGGACCGGAGUGAACGCACCACUGGUGUACGGGUUGUGAUGCCAAUUGCAUUGCCCGGUAGCUACGUGCGGAAGAGAUAACCGCUGAAAGCAUCUAAGCGGGAAACUUGCCUCGAGAUGAGUCUUCCCUGGGACUUCGAGUCCCCUGAAGGGCCGUUGAAGACGACGACGUGGAUAGGCUGGGUGUGUAAGCGCAGCGAUGCGUUGAGCUGACCAGUACUAAUGACCCGGGAGGCUUAACCUUACAACACCGAAGGUGUUUUAG
rnacentral:rRNA from 1 species